UGAUCCUGCCAGUAGUCAUAUGCUUGUCUCAAAGAUUAAGCCAUGCAUGUCUAAGUGCACGUCCUGCGUACGGCCUAACCGCGGAUGGCUCAUUAAAUCAGCUAUAAUUGAUCAGACAAUAGUUAUUCUAAACGGAUAACUGUAGUAAUUCUAGAGCUAAUACGUGCCAAUAUAUGCCCUGAUCGCAAGAGAAGGGUGGCUUUAUUAGAACAAAAUCAAUCGGAGCUUGCUCUGUUGGGUUGUUGACUCUGGAUAACUGUACUAAUCGCAUAACCUCGUGUUGGCGAUAUGUCUGACAAAUGUCUGCCCUAUCAACUAGAGACGGUAGGAUAUUUGCCUACCGUGGUGAUAACGGGUAACGGGGAAUCAGCGUUCGAUUCCGGAGAGGGAGCCUGAGAAAUGGCUACCACAUCCAAGGAAGGCAGCAGGCGCGCAAAUUACCCAUUCUCAGUUCGAGGAGGUAGUGACGAAAAAUAACAAAUGGUAUGCACUUUGUGCUUACCAUAUUGGAAUGAGUGAAGUUUAAUAACACUUCACAAGUACCUAUUAGAGGGCCAGUCUGGUGCCAGCAGCCGCGGUAAUUCCAGCUCUAAAAGCGUAUAUUAAAGUUGUUGCAGUUAAAAAGCUCGUAGUUGAAUUCAAAUCAUGGAGGUCUAGUUCGUGUUUAUGCACGGCACUAGUCUGACAUGUUUUUAAGUUGUGCAUAUUGCCGAUGCUUUUUACCGAGUGUCGGUGAUGGCCAACAAGUUUACUUUGAAAAAAUUAGAGUGCUCAAAGCAGGCUAACGCCUGAAUACUGUUGCAUGGAAUAAUAAAAUAGGACUUCGGUUCUAUUUUGUUGGUUUUAAGAACAGAAGUAAUGAUUAAAAGGGACAGACGGGGGCAUUUGUAUGGCUGGGGGAGGGGUGAAAUCCGUAGAUCCUAGCCAGACAAACUACUGCGAAAGCAUUUGCCAAGAAUGUUUUCAUUAAUCAAGAACGAAAGUCAGAGGUUCGAAGGCGAUCAGAUGCCGCCCUAGUUCUGACCAUAAACUAUGCCAUCUGGAGAUCUGUAGCAGAAAAUAAAGUCUCUCUACAGGAAACCCCCGGGAAACCUUAAGUCUUUGGGUUCCGGGGGUAGUAUGGUUCGCAAGGCUGAAACUUAAAGGAAUUGACGGAAGGGCACCACCAGGAGUGGAGCCUGUUGCUUAAUUUGACUCAACACGGGAAAACUUACCCGGCCCGGACACUGGAAGGAUUGACAGAUUGAGAGCUCUUUCUUGAUUCAGUGGAUGGUGGUGCAUGGCCGUUUUUAGUUGGUGGAGUGAUUUGUCUGGUUAAUUCCGAUAACGAACGAGACUCUGUCCUGCUAAAUAGUAAACUGAUACUUAUGAAGGUCAGUAUAUACUUCUUAGAGGCACAAGCGGGUACAAACCGCAUGAAAUAGAGCAAAAACAGGUCUGUGAUGCCCUUAGAUGUCCGGGGCCGCAAACGCGCUACACUGGCAGUGCCAACAAGUAAUUUCCAAAGCCGAAAGGCUGAGGGAACCUUAUGAAUCGCUGUCGUGACAGGGAUCGUGGUUUGUAAUUAUCCCACGUGAACGAGGAAUUCCCAGUAAGUGCAGGUCAUCAGCUUGCGCUGAUUACGUCCCUGCCCUUUGUACACACCGCCCGUCGCUACUACCGAUUGGAUGGUUUAGUGAGGUUAUUGGAUUGGUGUUCGUGAGGUGGUUAAACAUCUUACUUGCGCUGAGAAGAUAAUCAAACUUGGCCAUUUAGAGGAAGUAAAAGUCGU
rnacentral:rRNA from 1 species